UUAAUGGAUGAUAUGGUUUGCUUCCUUUGGCUAAUCCACUUGCUGUUUCCAGGAAUGAGAGCGAGAGGUUUGUAUUCGUGCCGUCUAAUGAUUUGGAGCUGCUAAGAUCUCUGAAAGGCAUCGCAGCUACAAAUUCAAAGAGGGUUUAUCACCUUUUUGGGCAUCUUUCCAAGUAGUUCCAUCAUUGAAGCCACAUGAUCCUGCAAUGGUAUCUACUGCCCGGGUGUUGGCGGCGAUGGCAGCUCCGCGGCACCGAGGGAGUCGGUCACAUUCGCAAGGCGAAGCAGCUGAUCCGAUUUGUGAACGUGGAGGCGCUCGGACAGAGGCCGCUACCUUUGUCCGCAUCUUAGAUGACGCCAAUGUCGUCCUCUUGUUCGGAGACAAGUGGGAAAGAUGAUGGAGGAAGCUUCUUACAUGAAGAUGAUAAUGAACGAGUAGAUAGAGGUCCUGAGGAGGCAAAUCUCCGCCUACGCCACCAUCUCCGAGCAACUGAUGGAGAUACACAGGGCCAUCAAAACACUGCAAGACUCAUUCUCAAGUUUUCUCUCCUAAAAAUUUGAUUUUUGGUUUAAGAUAGAGUUGAAUUGGCAAUUUUUGUGAUAAUUCUCUGUUUUAGCAUAGAAGGGUAGGUCCUGAGUAAUGGAAAACUUGAUUUGUUGCUUGAAUAUUCA